rnacentral:rRNA from 1 species
AACGCGAAGAACCUUACCCAGACUUGACAUGCCUGAAAUCCCGCAGAGAUGUGGGAGUGCCCGCAAGGGAAUCAGGACACAGGUGCUGCAUGGCUGUCGUCAGCUCGUGUCGUGAGAUGUUGGGUUAAGUCCCGCAACGAGCGCAACCCUCGCCUUUAGUUGCCAGCAUUCAGUUGGGCACUCUAGAGGGACUGCCGGUGUCAAGCCGGAGGAAGGUGGGGAUGACGUCAAGUCCUCAUGGCCUUUAUGUCUGGGGCUACACACGUGCUACAAUGGUCGGUACAAAGGGAAGCAAAAGCGCGAGCUCGAGCCAAUCUCAGAAAACCGACCCCAGUUCGGAUCGAAGUCUGCAACUCGACUUCGUGAAGUCGGAAUCGCUAGUAAUCGCGGAUCAGAACGCCGCGGUGAAUACGUUCCCGGGCCUUGUACACACCGACGCGUA